GAGUGGAUGAUACAUUUUCUGGAUUUUGUCAGGUGCCAUCUGUCUUGCCCUAAUCAUGGUAUGAAAGGUCACAGCAAAUUUAAUAACAAGCUGCUCAAGAAUGUGUCCCAGCUAGUGUCGCAACAUACCCCCUGGGUUCAUUCUUAAGACUGGGAAAACAUGGGGAAGGCAGGAAAUGGAAAUUCAAGACGAUGAGCAAACCGAGAACAAGAUGAAAGCAGGAGCCAACGUUUCA